CCCUGUUGCCUGGGCCUGGGGCCGGGACAGAAUUCCUGGGUCUCUGACCCAGGGGCCUGGGUGGCCUCUGAAGAACCUUCUGGAAGGCUCAGAGCAUUGCCGUCUGCUGGACCUCAGAGGGGACCACAAAGUGGGCUGGCGGCCCCCGCGGACACAGAUCCAGCCCCCAAAUUCAUCCUCCGGGAGCGUCCCGUCCCUGUGCCUCCCAGAGGCCCACCGAGGACGGUGCCAAGGUCACGCCUAGAGAUUCCCAAAAGGACCUGGGCUUGUUUGGGGCACCCACGCCCCAUGAGGUCUGUUUUUCUAGCCCAAAUUCCUCCCCUCGUCCCUCUCUCCCUCUCGAUCCCUCAGCUGUGGCCACACGGGCCUCCUCGCUGUUCUUUCCACGUGCCAGGCCUGGUCCCGCCCCAGGGCCUUUGCACAAGCUGUGCCCUCUGCCUGGAAUGCCCUUUCUCCCCAGGCCUGUUUCUCAUGACUCAGGUCUGGGCUCCUACGUCCUCAGGGUCUAACUGGACUUGACCUGGAGAGAUGGAGAAGUGCCGAGAUCUGGGCUGGGCUGGCAGGGUUGGGGGGCCCCGAGUCCUCACCACCAGGUCGGCCUCCAGACCUGCACCAGCUUUAUUCUCUCACCUCAGAGCUUCCUCACCACCCAGCUCUCGCACUGUUCCCUGUGCCCCAGCCAGAGCCCCGGAUGACAGCCUCAAGUCCUAUCCACCUCCUCACCUCCCAAAACCUCCCACCCUGAGUCCGUCUCCUGCCCGGCUAAGCGGCCUGCUCAAGUCUCAAUUCCUGGCUCUCCCAUUGACAUGCUGUGUGACAUCAGAAUUCUGUCUCCUCAGCUGCACCUUCCCAGGCUGGCUUAUUCUUCAGGAUUUCUCAGUUGGUCUAAUACCGCCAAUGGCAGAGAAGAGACACAGGGACAUGUGUGACAACAGGGGCAGAGAUAGGGUGACAUGUCUACGAGUUGCCAGCAGCCCCCCGGAGCCGGGAAAGGGGCACGGAACAGAUUCUCCCUCUGAUUCCCCAAGAAGGAACCAGCCCUGCCGCCACCUUGAAUCAGGAGAGAAUAAAUCUGUCGUGUUAAGUCGUGUUAAACCCCCUGGUUUGUGGUGCUUUGUUACGGCGCGUGCAGGAAACGCGUACGUGCUGGAAUCUUUGUCCCGGGGUCCGGGUUGGGUGCGGCCAGCCAAAGGCACGGGGUCACCACGCUGAGACUCGAGGAUGAGUAAGGGUGAAGUUGGCAUCAGGGGGCAGAGAACGGCAUGCUGGGAACGUGUGCAGCAUGUGAAAAGGUCCUGCGGUGAGCAAGAGACAGAGAGAAAGAGAGAGAAAGUGUUGAAAGGUUGGAAAGAGCCAGCCAUUCAGAGCAGCUGGAAGGAUGGUCUCAGUCGAGGACGGGAGAGACUCGGGGAAGGACAGGCAGUGCGAGGCCGGGACCUUGACGGCCAGUGGCCUCAGGGUUUACAGAGAACGACGGGGGAGCCGCAGAAAAGCUUACAGUAAAGGCAGGACAUGGCUGGGUGGUUCCCGUUUCCGCGUUAUACAUUCUGCGUUGCUGGGAUCUUUUGCGACGGGCAUGAACUCACUUAUUUCUCCCCGAGUUAAAGAGAUGCGGGUUUUCAAAA
rnacentral:lncRNA from 1 species